rnacentral:snRNA from 1 species
AUACUAGAAGCAAGCACAUACACUAAACUUGGGAAGAUACAGAGAAGGUUAGCGUGGGUGCUGCACAGGAAUGACAGGCAAGUUCAUGAAGUGUUCCGUAUUUGU